rnacentral:lncRNA from 1 species
AACGUGGGCUUGUACCCCCAAAUGGAGGCUGCUGCUACGGCUUCUUCCCCGCAGCACCCACGAGCAGGAUCCUUGGACCUCAGCCUACAGAAGAGUGAAGCCUUUGGACAAAGAGGGGGCUCCCAGACCCUAUAACAAGAAGCCCCCAAAGGUUUUGGGGUCCCAGCAUGGGGGUGCCAAGGCCAGGAGCUGGGGCUGCUGCUGGGUGGGCUACAGGGGCCUGGGGGGCUCCUGGUGGCUGGAUGGGAUUUGGGCUGCAGGAGUGCAAAACGGCGGCGUUUUGGGGUCUGGAGAAUUUGGGGCGUUUUGAAGGAUCUGGCCACACGAAUGUGAAAUGACAGUAUUUGGUGGCUGGCCGCAAGAAGCGUGAAAUGGCGUUGUGGGGUCUGGAGAAUUUGGGGUGUUCUGAGGGGGGGCUGGCCACGGGAGUGCUAAACGGCAUCACUUUGGGGUCUGGAAAAUUUACGGCACUUCUGAGGUGGCUGCAGGAGCACAAAACGGCAGCAUUUAGGGGUCUGGAGGAUUAGGGGUGUUUUGAGGGGUCCAGCCACAUAAUGGGAGCAUUUUGGGGCCUGGAGAAUUUGGGGCGCUUUUGAAGCGGCUGUAGGAGCGUAAAAUGAUGAUGUUCUGGGGGCUGGAAAACUCGGGGCACUCGAGGCGGCCGCAGGAGCACAAAACGGUGGCGUUUGAGGGGGGUCUGGUGAAAUUUGGGGCGGUUUUGAGGUAGAGCCGGAGGCAGGGACGCAAAAUGGCGGCGUUUCGGGGUCUGGCUCCUGCGGGCCUAAGGCCUUUGGGGACCCCCCGAAAGGCGUCCAGCCCCCGGUCGCGGCCGGGGUCGGGGCCUGAACCGGGGCCUAGGCCAGGACCGGGGCCUGGGUCUAGGCUGGGACCGGAGCCGGGGAACCUGAGCCCGCCCCGGGGAGGUCCCCGGCGUCCGCCCGCUGCCGGAAGGGGCGGCCCGGGCCCCGCCAUGCCGCCAGCCCUCACCGGGGGGCGGCUGCUCCUGGGGGCAGCCCCUCGCCGUUACCGGCCCCACGUCGCCGAGCGGCUGCGCCUUUUCCAACGGCUCCAAGCGGCCCGGGAGAGGAGGGCCGGGGGUGAUGAUGGUGGGGGGAGCCCCCCAGCGGGGACCCCCAUCCGCAUCGCCCUGCCCGGGGGGCGCUGCCUGCACGGCCGUGCCCUGCAGACCACCCCGCGGCAGGUGGCCGAGCAGUUGGGGUACGGCCAAGGGGGGUCCCCCCCC